CACCUUCCCUGAUAGUAAUUUGUUUUCUUCUCCACUUUCAAAAUUAUGUAGACACCUACAGCCUACUUUCUCUCUCAUCACCUUUCAAAUUUCUCUCUCUAUCCAUUGCCCUCUCCAACUCCAAGAAUCAAUUUUCCCUUCCAAUUUUCUCAAAAAAUGCAACCAUGUCCAUGAAUUUCCCCUUAAUCCUCCUCUCCCUCAUCCUCCUCGCAUCAAUUUUCCAUUCCUCCAACACUCUCGCGGAUUCGGUGGCGGCGGAGAAGACCCGGCUCGGCUCGACGCCGCCAAGCUGCCACAACAAAUGCAACGAGUGCCACCCGUGCAUGGCGGUGCAGGUGCCGACGCUGCCGAGCCACAGCCGCGUGGGGCCCGCCGAUUACUCCUCCGCCGGAAACAGGUACUCCAAUUACAAGCCGCUCGGCUGGAAAUGCAGAUGCGCCGGCCAUUUUUACAACCCUUAAUUACAAAUUAAAAAAAAAAUCAUACACUGAAAUUUCAUUUCUAGUCCUUUUAAUUUCCAUUUUAAUUAACAAUCAGAGUAGAAUUGUUUUUUUUUAAUAUUUUUUGGGUGGGUGAUGUUAAGGUGACAAGACAUAUAAUUAAUGUAAGAUGUUUUUUUUUAAAAUAUAUGUAAGCAUUUAUUUUAUUUAGUGUGUAGGUGUCGGAGGCUAUGCUGUUUUUGUACAGUGACUUAUUACGUACUGAUGAAUUCUGAUUUUUCUGAUACUGA